rnacentral:misc_RNA from 1 species
ACGAACAUCGGUUCGAACUAGAAUUCACUAACUGCUCUAAGUAAUGUAAAUAUAUAUCAAGAUACUUCAUUUAUUAUUAAAGUAUAUCUUGCUAAAUAUCAAAUAAGUAUCACAACCUCGCAUGUCAAUUGUCAUCUAUUAACUGUUUGGGCAAUGUCCUCUCAAUUUCGACCCGAUUCUUCCUCCCUCGUGGACUUGAAGGCGGAGGUGUAUCGUAAAAAGGAAGAAGCAAAGCGAAAUAAGGCCCGUAAUAUCUAUGACGAGUCUGUUUAUGUACCUAAAAUUAGGACUAAAAUACUAACAAAUGAGACUCCAAAAAAUGAAAAAGAGGAUGAAGAUUUCGAGAAGAUUUCCCAAGUCCAAGAUACUUUGUCAAAAAAAGCAGCUCUAUAUGAUCAUUUAAAAACGUCUAGAGAGGAUAAUGAACUAUUAAGAAAUAGAUUUCUUGUAGAGUUCAAGGAUUUUGAGGAGGCGGAUGAGGACAUCGUGGAAUACACGGAUCCGCUCGGGCGGUCGCGUAAAGUAACAAGAGGAGAACUGCGAAUAUUAGAGAAAGAGGAUAAAUCCUGGUGUGAAAGUCGUCCUCCUCCUCAAAACCUUAAUGAAAGAGAGCCUGACACAGAUGAAGAAACACUAAAAAGAGAAUUACUAAGGGAAAAAUGGUCUCAAGAAGAAGAAGAAAAUCUUCGGAAAAGAGAUGUUCAUUAUGGAGAUCUUCUCUUUAACGAAGCACGUACACAUGGUACUGGAUAUUAUGGAUUUUCUCGUGAAGAAAUUGAACGUCGUAAAGAAAUAGAUGCACUCAAAGACUUUCACAAAGAAACAUUGGAUGCACAAAAUGAAAGUAAAAAAUCUCAAAAGGCUAAAAGUCGUUUAUUAGCUGCUCGCCUGAAAAAAGUAAGGGAACGUAAAAGGUUAAAAAUGGGUCUUCCAAUUCGUCCAGUUGGUAUGGAAGUAGAGGAAGAAAGGGAAGAGUCAGAGUCUGAAGGAGAAAAUGCAGAAUCAAAACUCGAGGAAAGUAUUGCUCAGAGUGUCCGUGCAAUGCGUGAUAAACGUGAUUCUGAAGACAGAAAGCGUAAAUUUGUUCGUGAAUGGGACUUGGGUAAAGAAGAUUAUAAUGUUAUGUCUCAAGAGGAUUGGGUGCGUGAAAAAAGAACAGAGAGGCAUAGUGAAUUUGGUCCUUCAUACUCUAGUUAUUCAAAAUCAAAUAAGUAUUCCUCAAAUCAUCAUUCUUCAAGUGCAAAGAGAUCUGAAUAUUCAUCAAGUUACUCUGAUGACGAUCUUAACACAUCUAGAGAAUAUCAAAACUCUAGCACCCGCUCAGCUAGAAACAUCAAAAAAAAUUCAUCAUCUUUGUCUCUAAAAGAAAGAAUUGAAUUAUAUUCAGAGUAUACAUGCCCCUCAAGUUCAAAAUCUGACAGAGAAUCUAAAGGUCCAGAAAUACCACCUCCUAAAUUUAAUGAAACUUCAAAAUUGUGCAUUCCUAAUAUUAAAGAAUCUUUUAAAAAGGGCUUGGAUGAGAAAAAGAAAUUGAAUCAACGAAUGUGAAUUUCCUAUUAUUAUGAGUUAUUGAAUUAAAAAAUGCAUAUUCAUCCAGUUAUUUAUCAAGAAAUUUCUAUAGUCUAAUGGCUUCAAACGUCUUUGGUGCCAAAAGUUUUAAGCCAGUACCUCCAGAGAAAGGAAGUUUCCCACUCGAUUAUGAAGGCAAGUGUAAAAUACAAUACUUGAAGUUUAUGAUCUGUUUGAAAGAGAAUGAUUACGUUGUAGACAAGUGUAGAGAAA